UUUUUAUUUGAGAGUAAAGGGUGAGAAGUAAAAGUUUAGGGGAAAAAUAAAAAGUUUUGGGAAUAAAAGUUUGAGGGAAAGUAAAUAGGGGGAGUAAAAUUUUGGAGGGAAAAUAUUAAAAAAAAAUUGGAGGGGGGAGGGUUUGGGAUAGAUGGGAGGUGGGAUGGGAAGGAAAUAAAAGUUUUAGGGGAAAAGUGGGAGAGAGUAAAAAUUUUGGGGGAAAAUAAAAGGUUUUGAGGGUUUUUGGGAGUAAAAUUUUGAGAAAAAAUAAAUGGGAGAGUAAAAUUUUGGUGGGAAAUGGAUUUUGGGUAGAUUGGGGGGUUGGGAGGGGAGGGGAGUAAAAGUUUUGGGGGGAAAGUGAGAAGGAGUAAAAGUUUUGAGGGAAAAGUAAAAAGGUUUGGGAGUUCGGGAUAAAAAUGUAAAAUAUUAUAGUUUGAUAUUCGAAUUAUUCGAAUUAUUCGAGUUAU
rnacentral:lncRNA from 1 species